AACGAACGCUGGCGGCAGGCUUAACACAUGCAAGUCGAACGCAUCGCAAGAUGAGUGGCAGACGGGUGAGUAACGCGUGGGAACAUACCCUUUUCUACGGAAUAGCUCUGGGAAACUGGAAUUAAUACCGUAUACGCCUAAGGGGGGAAGAUUUUUCGGGGAAGGAUUGGCCCGCGGUGGAUUAGCUAGUUGGUGGGGUAAAGGCCUACCAAGGCGACGAUCCAUAGCUGGUCUGAGAGGAUGAUCAGCCACAUUGGGACUGAGACACGGCCCAAACUCCUACGGGAGGCAGCAGUGGGGAAUAUUGGACAAUGGGCGCAAGCCUGAUCCAGCCAUGCCGCGUGAGUGAUGAAGGCCUUAGGGUUGUAAAGCUCUUUCACCGAUGAAGAUAAUGACGGUAGUCGGAGAAGAAGCCCCGGCUAACUUCGUGCCAGCAGCCGCCGUAACAC
rnacentral:rRNA from 1 species